rnacentral:rRNA from 1 species
AUUGAACGCUAGCGGGAUGCUUUACACAUGCAAGUCGAACGAGUGGCGGACGGGUGAGUAAUAUAUCGGAACGUGCCCAGUAGCGGGGGAUAACUACUCGAAAGAGUGGCUAAUACCGCAUACUAUUGGAGCGGCCGAUAUGGGAUUAGCUAGUUGGUGGGGUAAAGGCUCACCAAGGCAACGAUCCGUAGCGGGUGUGAGAGGAUGACAGGGCAAACGGGGACAUAGAAACGGCGAAGCGGCCUACGCGACGACGCGAUGGGGAAUUUUGGGCAAUUGGCGAAUGCCGGAUCGAGCGAUGCCGCGUGUCUGAGAAGGCCUUCGGGUUGUAAGGUACUAUAGGCAGAGCGGCGGUAUCUGGAGAAUAAGCGCCGGCUAACUACGUGCCAGCAGCCGCGGUAAUAC